rnacentral:lncRNA from 10 species
CUUCCGCUCCGGCGUCAGGAUCCAGCGCACCUCCCCAGUACCCAGCGCACCUCCCCAGUACCCGGCUCGCUUCCCUGUUCUCCGGAACGGUGUCUUCCCGCUUCCUGGUCAUCAAUUCCGCACCCACCCUUCAAACAUCCAAUAGAUUCCUAGCCGGCCUCGGGUUAGCGCAGCAGUGCGCACCCAGCCCUGCGCAGGGCAUGAGCGUUAGAGGCGCACAGGAUCCCAGAAGACCCCUAACCUUUACUGUUAAGAUCCUAGCUCUACCGGUUUCUGCAGGGACAUGUACAAGAAACUUGGGAAAUACUGCACUGAUAGUUGCCAGGAGUCCUGUAUAUACAGGACGUAUUUAAUGAUUAUUGGCCUGCGUCCUUCGUUGACCUCGUCGGAAUGCCUUAAAUGUCCUGUAUUCAUCUUUUUACACUAAAUUGCAAUAAUUAGAGCUAUUUUUCUCCCACAGUAAUUGGUGCUAGAUCACUUAAAUUACAACACUGGCUGAAAAUCCUUCCUACACUAAUGAAGAUUUGGACAAUCCCUAUGGUGUCUCCUUCAGGUUUGGCUGAGGGAAGACCAGAAGGGAGUAGGAAUUUAAAGUGCUCGUCUUUCAUAUUCAAGAAAGGAAAAUACUUUUUUAGCUCAAGUCCGGAGUCGUGAACAAAUAACCACCAUUAUUUAGAGAUAACUUCUCGUCGGUGCAGCAGCUCUGAAAAUCAGCCAAUCAGCGAUAGCCUCACUCCGUGAUCAAUUUUUUAGCUCAAGUCCAGAGUCAUGAACAAGUAACCACCAUUAUUUAGAGAUAACUUCCCAUCGGUGCAAAAGCUCUGAAAAUCAGCUCUAAAAACAAUUCAACGGGGCUACACGUGGUGGUGCACGCCUGCAGUCCCAGCAAUUUGGGAGACUAAGACAAGUGGAUUUCUUGAGCCCAAGAGUUUGAGACCAGCCUGGGCAACGUGGCAAAACCUCAUCUCUCUGUCUCUCUCUCUCUAUAUAUAUAUAGUUUAUUUAUAAAAAUAUAUAUUUAUAUUAUAAUUUAUGUAUACAAAUAUAUUUCAUAUAUGCACACACACACAAAUUGGCCAGGCAUAGUGGCAUGUGUCUGUAGUCGCAGCUAUUCAGGAGACUGAGAUGGGAGGAUCGCUUGAGCCUGGGAGGUCUAGGAUGCAGUGAGUUAAGAUCAGGCCACUGCACUCCAGCAUGGGGGACUGAGUGAGACCCUGUCUCAAAAAAAAAAAAAAAAAUCAAUGAGUAUAGGCACAGAUUUGUGCAACCACCACCACAAUCAAUUUUAGAACAUUUUUAUCACUCCAACAGGAAAAUCCUGUACCUAUUAGCAGUCAUUCCUCCAUUUCUUCCCAACCACCCCAGCCCUAGGCAACCACUAACCUUUUAAUUUGCCUAUUCUGGACAUUUCAUGUUAUCAGCAUCAUUCAAUAUAUGGUUUUUCAUGACUGGCUUCUUCCAUUUAGCAUAAUGUUUAUAAGGUUCAUCCAUGUUGCAGCAUGUAUCAGAAUUUUGUUCCUUUUCAUGGUUGAAUAUUAUUACAUUGAAUGGAUAUACCACAUCUUGCUUAUCCAUUUAUCUGUUAAUGAACAGUCAGAUUGUUUCCACUGUUUUGCUAUGUUUUGUAGCUAAUGCUAUUAUUAACAUUUGUGUACAAGUUUUUUUGUGGACACACAGUUUGUUUCCUUGGCGAUCUAGGAGUGGGUUUCUGGAUCACAUGGUAACUCUACGUUUAACCUUUUGAGGAACUGCCAAACGGUUUUCCAAAGUGGCUGCACCAUUUAUAUUCUCACCAGCAUCAUAUGUGGGUUCUAAUUUUUCCAUAUCUUCCCUAAUACUCAUUAUCUUUUUCACUAUAGCCAUUUUAGAGGGUAUGAAGUGGUAUCUCAUUGUGGUUUUGGCUUAUAUUUCCUGAUAGCUAAUGAUGUCAAGCAUCUCUUCAUGUGCUUAUUAGCCAUUUGGACCUCCUCCUUUUUUUUUUUUUUUUUUUUUUUUUGAGACGGAGUUUCACUCUUGUUGCCCAGGCUGGAGUGCAAUGGCAUGAUCUCAGCUCAACGCAACCUCUGCCUCCCGGGUUCAAGCGAUUCUCCUGCCUCAGCCUCCCGAGUAGCUGGGAUUACAGGCAUGCGCCACCGCGCCCAGCUAAUUUUGUAUUUUUAGUAGAGACGGGGUUUCUCCAUGUUGGUCAGGCUGAUCUCAAACUCCCGACCUCAGGUGAUCUGCCCACCUCAGCCUCACAAAGUGCUGGGAUUACAGGCAUGAGCCGCCGUGCCUGGCCUAUACCUCUUCUUUGGAGGAAUGUCUGCUCGAAUUUUUUGACCAUUUUUACUUGGUUACUUGUCCUUUUAUUAUGUUGUGGUAGCUCUUUAUAUAGUCUAGAUAUAAGUACCUUAUCAGAAAUACAAUUUGCAAAAAUUUUAUCCCAUUCUGUGGGUUGUCUUUUCACAUUCUUGAUAUUGUUGUUUGAAACACAAAACUUUAAAAUUUUAAUGAUAUCCAGUUUAUCAAUUUUUUUCUUUUGUUGCUUGUGCUCUAUGUGUCAUAACUAGGAAACUAUUGCCUAAUCCAAAGUCAUGAAGACGUACCUCUUACAUUUUCUUCUAAGAGUUUAAUAAUUUUGGCUCUUACAUUUUAGAUCUUUGAUUAAUUCCAAAUUAAUUUUUCUAUAUGAUGUGAGGCAGGGAUCCAACUUGAUUCUUUUCCAUGUGGCUAUUCACUUGUCUCAGCACCAUUUGUUGAACAGACUAUUUUUUUCCCCAUUGAAUUGUCUUGGUACCCUUGUUGAAAAUCGAUUGUGUUAUCUAUUUCUUUAUUUGUGUAUAUGUGAAUCCACAAAUGCCAAAUUGCAAGAGUGAAUUUUAUGACAAAUUUUCUGAAGAGUGUACAUUUAUUAAAGGAGAGAAAAUCCAUUUGCAGCUCUUUAUGUGGUAUGCAAGUAUUUAUUCAAUAUUGAAAAUGGUGGAAAGACAGAUAUACAUCAGCACAUACUAACGGCUAAGCAUAAAAGAUGUGUGAUUUUUGUACCAAAGGAAUGGAUAAAAUGACAAAUUUUAAAGAUAAAUUCAGAUUGAGAAGAUAAUCACAGCAAAGUUGUAAUGGCCUCCCAUACUGUCUGUUGUCAUCAUUCAGCUCAAGUCACUCUUUGAACAUACCGCUACCAGUAGUAUUUUCUAAUGCCAAUAUUUCAAGCAAAUUUUCAAAUGCCAGGACAAAAUCUACUGCAAUAAUUUGAGAUGUAACGACUCCACUUACUACUGUUGCAGUGAUUAUCAAAGCUGUAAAUGCCUUGCUGUUUUAUAGCAUAACCAUGGAUGUGAGUAAUCACAGUGAAGAAAAGCUUUUCCUUUGCCUGUGCAACAGUUUCCUUGUGAAAAAGGCUUGCUUAUGGGGCUAUUUUGUGUAAAAUCCCUUCCAGAUGAGAUUUCAGAAAUGAACAAAUUGUUGCAGAGAUUCUCCUAAUGAAUUAGGAGUUAUUAAAAACUGUACAGUUUUUGAUGGAAAAAUACAAAUAAAAUAUUGGUAGAUGCUCGCACUAUGUUUAUUCAAAACUAAAGUAAAGCUUGACUGAUGCUAUGGAAGCUAUUGACUGUCCUGCUCAUAUUCUGUGUAAUGCUGCUCAAACAGCAUAUGAUGUCUUUUCCAUUGCCUUUGAAGCAACUGUCCUGAAAUUAUUCUUAUGUCAGCGUUUAUAAUAUUUGAACUGAACAAUUAAGAUAUUUUUGUGAUUUUGUUGGCAUUUAGUAUUCCUCAAUUCUCUUGCAUUCAAAAAACCUGUUAGCUCUUUUUUUUUUUUUUGAGAUGGACUUUCGCUCUCAUUGCCCAGGCAGGAGUGCAAUGGCACAAUCUCAGCUCACUACAACCUCCGCCUCUUGGGUUCAAG